GCUGGGCAUGGUGGCACAUGCCUAUAAUCCCAGUGACUUGGGAGGCUGAGGCAGGAGGAUUCCAACUUUAAGGUCAGCCUCAU
rnacentral:sRNA from 1 species